rnacentral:tmRNA from 1 species
GGGACUGCAAUGGUUUCGACAGGAUUAACUUAUUAUAUAUUGCAAGUUGAUGGCAAUCAUUAAAUGCAAAACUCAGUUAAAAUAACUGGAAACUUAUUUAAAAAACAAGCUUAUGCAUUUGCAUAAUCCGAUAUAGGAAACAAGCUUACGAAUCAAUUUUUUGUCUGCUGAAAUUGUUAUUCGUUCAUAACGCAGAAUAUAUCACUAUGAUGUCUAUAAAUGGUGAUGAAUAAGUAUAGACUUACUAUAAAAUAAGUUGUUAAUUACUAGUUUUAUAGGAAGUAAAAAAUUAACUAAACUUGUAGAUGUAUAUAGUAACUAAUUUUGGACAGGGGUUCGAUUCCCCUCAGUUCCACCA